AUAUAUAUAUAUAUUUGAUGUCUGUAAAUUCCAAAUUAAACGUCACAAACAAAUUUUCAUAGAUGUUGAAGGUCCUCCCACUGUGGAGUUCCUCCAUCGAUAGAUGAUUGCAUAUUGCAUGGCCUUGUGGAGCAGCAUUGCCGCCAUUAUUUCUUGGGCCAGGCCAUAGACAUACAUUUUCAAUAAAGUUUAUCUUAAAGCUUUUAACAAGCAGUGGCCUAUGAGGAUAUCCAUAAUAAAAUACCAUCUUUCGGGACUGAAUGGCUUGGUUAGCCUUGAUGUCCGUCUGCAAAUCUGAGGCUUUGCUGUGGGCUAAUUGUUCAAUUUAUUUCAUAAUUUAGUUGUUAUUUUGUUCUUGUGAUGCAUUUAAUGUUUGUAUGUAUAUUGAUUUAGAUAUAAAGUUGAGUUUCUUGUGAUUAUGAUGUGUUUCCUGUUUGACUGCAUUGUGUCUUAUGUUGUAAUGCAAUGCUCCUUUUAUCAGUAAUUGAUACGGCAAUGCUUCUCAUCCCCUGAGCUUUGGAACCUUUGGUCAUUGUUCGUACUGAUUAACAUUGGAAGGGACAAUUUCCACUAUGAGAAAUUGCCUGAUGAUUGUUAAAAAAGAACGGAGAUUCGAAUGGUGCUGUUGUUGAAGCCUGAUUACCAAUUGGGCUCCAAGAGCAUCUCAUGUGAUAAACAGUUCUACAUUGACUACUUAUGAAGGCUUUCAAUAUUCUCCAAUUGCAUGGUUUUAUUGCUGUCUAAUGUCUUACAAUCGCAAAACUUGAAUAUUUGCUAGUUUUGGCGAAUUCUUGAGAUUGUCUGAAACCUGUUGAUUCUCAUGAAAUAUAAGUUGCUUUAAACUUAGAAUCUCAUUGAGACCAGUUGGAAUAAAUAAAUUAGAGAUCUGAUGUCAAAAAUUUUGGUAGAAAACUGUUUCAAGAUGAGAAGAAGCUAGCACUUUGCAACUAGAUGUAUGAUUUCCUAUAUGUACUAGUUUCGGUGGCCGAGGGGAUUGAAUGCAUACUGCAUUAGGAUUUUACCUUCAAGCAAUUUGAUUUGUAUGAGUAAAAUAUUUGAUCUCUGUAUACUCUUUUUACCACGAAGGAUUAAAAUAGACUCGACUCUCAAGACCAGGUUAGGAUGGUA